UACGUAGGGUGCAAGCGUUAGUCGGAAUUACUGGGCGUAAAGCGUGCGCAGGCGGUCUUGCAAGACAGAUGUGAAAUCCCCGGGCUCAACCUGGGAACUGCAUUUGUGACUGCAAGGCUGGAGUGCGGCAGAGGGGGAUGGAAUUCCGCGUGUAGCAGUGAAAUGCGUAGAUAUGCGGAGGAACACCGAUGGCGAAGGCAGCCCCCUGGGAUAACACUGACGCUCAUGUACGAAAGCGUGGGUAGCAAACAGG
rnacentral:rRNA from 1 species